rnacentral:lncRNA from 1 species
UGUAGAUAGAAACGCCAUUUAGGGAGCUACCAUUUUAUUUUUAUGGGGGGGGGGGCUAGGAUGAAAUUUGAAAAAAAUAGGCAGGACAGGAGUUUUGAGUAAAAAAAAAGGCAGGAUGUGACACUUGCAAAAAAAAAAAAAAGUCAGGACGACAAUUUAGGUAAAAAAAAGUCAGGAUAAAAAAAAAAAAAAAGGCAGGACCGAUUAGAGUGAAAAAUAAAAAGGCAGGACAGAUUACAGCUAAAAAAAAUGCAGGACAAAAUUUUUCAUCCUAGCCCCCCCA